CGCAAAGAAGAGUUUAAAGAAGAGCGUUCUAGUAAGACGUCAUUUCCUAUACAUGCUUCCAUUUUAGGGGCAAGGAUAGUGGGAUCGUUCUGGAGAAAAGUGGAGUUUUUCACCUCUUUCACAUGAGAGAAAAGAUGAAAAAGAGAACACAGGAGCCCCAGAAUUAUUCCAGCCUAGACCCUGCUUUUUCACCCUGAAAGGUGAAAGAUAGCCACGACUGCCUUACCGUUCACAUCCUCCCACUUGGGUAGGGAUGAGACAUAAAGUAUCACAGAGUAUCCCUGCAGCUGCUCCAUGCAAGAAGAUGUUUAGCUCAACUUUGUUUUGGCAGCACUGAG